GUGUCAUGGCGGCGGAAGGAAUGAUUGGAAAAAAAACAAGCAGGAUUACCGGUAGUGGAAGGUGAAUCCUGAAUGGAAUGACGUUUGCUGUGUCCAUGGGGAGGAAUAAGUGGUGCUGGAACAUUACUGCCGCGCGGGGAACCUCUCCACUGGACCCCCCGCCUCUUCGGGGCAGCGCGAACGGCAUCGGAGGAGACUUCAGGCCAACAGCCGAGUCUUUCCUGCUCCCAAGCCAUGAGCUCCAACCACAGCCCUAAGUCGAAGGGUUCCUUCUUCUGGUUCGACGCGAUCGAAUUCUUUUUUGCUGGAUUCAUACUGUUACGCCUGUGUGGCAUUGUGGUACUGGGUUCGAUUCCCUCGAGGAUGCGUCAAAAUUGAACACAGCAAAGCCACGUGCCUUCACGGCUGCAGGCAAUCAACAAUCAGGGCACUAGGUUCUGAUGAGGGCAGAAGACAUAAAGACCAGCAGACCCGAAGAUCCAGUGCCAGAACAAAGUUCCCUCGAAGCAUGUUCCCUCCGUUUCCACUGAUCGAGCUGUGCGCCUCGCUUCUGUGGACUUCCCACCGGACUUUGGACUGCUUCCCUCGAUCCUUGACCCCCGCUCGGACACGGACCUCGACGCCUCUCUCCAUUCCCCGACCUCUUACUUGCCCACUGACUUCCUUCUUGCCUAGACCCUUUGGACUUCCGAACGAUUCAUCCUAAACGCACGUACAACAUCCUCUGGUAACAUUAACAUUUAGUUCUUCACAUCGUCUCGUAACACACACUCUUAGUAGCACACCCCAGUACAUCAUCGUUUCCAACAAACCUAUUGAACUGGCUCCUGCCGUGUCGACUCCUUCCCCCACCGUACGUAACAGUUAAAGUUUUGUUGUAUAACCUGCAAUGAUAAAUAGAUCUAAAAUAAAUGUCUAUACUGUU